rfam:Camelus ferus unplaced genomic scaffold scaffold951, whole genome shotgun sequence.
GAGGGUAUAGCUCAGUGGUAAAGUGCAUGCCUAGCGUGCAUGAGGUCCUGGAUUCAAUUCCCAGUGCACCCA